rfam:Picea glauca, whole genome shotgun sequence.
ACAAUGGUGUUUUUCAACACCACCCAAUGAUUCUCAUAAAUAUGGG